rfam:Danio rerio chromosome 4, GRCz11 reference primary assembly.
GCAUUGGUGGUUCAGUGGUAGAAUUCUCACCUGUCACGUGGGAAACCCAGGUUUGAUUCUCGGCUAAUGCA